AGCAAACCUGUGCUUUUUAAUUCUGCUUCCUGUUUGGAGGUCAACUGCAGUGAGGUCUCUAUACCACAGAGUGGUGAGUCCCCAAGUCCCGGUGAACUUAGGAAAUGGGCAUUAUCCUCUGGAAGACGUUUAUAGAGGUGACUUUUUUGGUAAGUCCCUGGGACUCCUGUUGACAUGGGAAUUACUUUCUUCCCUCAGUUGUUGGCGUCUCACAUGGCCAUUCAUCAGCUCAAUACAAACAAGUCUUCACGGAGGUGGAGUUUCCUCCUCACCUGUUGCUAAACCAGGCAGCGUGGAUUGGCAUAUUCACUGACUUCAUGGCACGAAGGCCUACAAAAGCGGAACAACUUUUCACCAGUGCAAAAAUGUUCCAAAAGAUACUCUCUCUGUCCAAUACACUUGUAAGUGCAUUCUAGAAUAUAAAAAAUAGAGAGAGAUAAAUGUUCUGUUGAAAGAUAAUCUCCCAAAAUAUAAGUUUUUAUGUAA
ensembl:lncRNA LINC00393 long intergenic non-protein coding RNA 393